rnacentral:rRNA from 1 species
UACGGAGGGGGCUAGCGUUGUUCGGAAUUACUGGGCGUAAAGCGCGCGUAGGCGGACCUGCAAGUUGGGGGUGAAAGCCCGAGGCUCAACCUCGGAACUGCCUUCGAUACUGCGGGUCUCGAGUCCGGGAGAGGUGAGUGGAAUUCCUAGUGUAGAGGUGAAAUUCGUAGAUAUUAGGAAGAACACCAGUGGCGAAAGGCGGGUCUCUGGGCCGAUACUGACGCUGAGGAGCGAAAGCGUGGGGAGCGAACAGG